rnacentral:rRNA from 2 species
GAAGCGGGAAGAGCUCAAAUUUAAAAUCUGGCGGCCUUCUGGACGUCCGAGUUGUAGUCUGGAGAAGUGUUAUCCGCGUCGGACCGUGUACAAGUCUCCUGGAACGGAGCGUCGUAGAGGGUGAGAAUCCCGUCCAUGACACGGACGCCCGAUGCUAUGUGAGGCACUCUCAAAGAGUCGAGUUGUUUGGGAAUGCAGCUCAAAAUGGGUGGUAAAUUCCAUCUAAAGCUAAAUAUUGGCGAGAGACCGAUAGCGAACAAGUACCGUGAGGGAAAGAUGAAAAGCACUUUGGAAAGAGAGUUAAACAGUACGUGAAAUUGUUGAAAGGGAAACGCUUGAAGUCAGUCGCGUCCCGCGGAACUCAGCCUGGUUUCGACCUGGUGUACUUUCCAUGUGGACGGGUCAACAUCAAUUUCGGCCGGUGGACAAGGGCGAGGGGAAUGUAGCGUUGCUUCGGCGACGUGUUAUAGCCCCUCGUCGUAUACACUGGUUGGGAUUGAGGACCGCAGCACGCCCUUGUGGCCGGGGGUUCGCCCCACGUAACGUGCUUAGGAUGUUGGCAUAAUGGCUUUAAGCGACCCGUCUUGAAACACGGACCAAGGAGUCUAACAUGCUUGCGAGUGUUCGGGUGGAAAACCCUUGCGCGUAAUGAAAGUGAAAGUUGGGAACCUCCGCGAGGGGGUGCACCGACGCCCGGCCCUGAGGUUCUCUGACGGUGCCGCGGUAGAGCACGUAUGUUGGGACCCGAAAGAUGGUGAACUAUGCCUGAAUAGGGCGAAGCCAGAGGAAACUCUGGUGGAGGCUCGUAGCGAUUCUGACGUGCAAAUCGAUCGUCAAAUUUGGGUAUAGGGGCGAAAGACUAAUCGA